rnacentral:rRNA from 1 species
GACAGAGGUGCCGAGCGUUAGGCGGAAUCACUGGGCUUAAAGCGUGUGUAGGCGGGUCGGUAAGUGGCUUGUGAAAUCCCACCGCUCAACGGUGGAACUGCUGGGCAUACUGGCGAUCUUGAGCCACCUAGGGGCAGACGGAACAAGCGGUGGAGCGGUGAAAUGCGUAGAUAUCGCUUGGAACGCCGACGGUGAAAACAGUCUGCUGGGGGUGUGCUGACGCUGAGACACGAAAGCCAGGGGAGCGAACGGG